UUCCCCAUCGCCGGUGGAGGAGGGAGAGCAAGACGCCAGCGAAGCACCGCCACGCGUAAGCGACGACGAGGACGGCGGAAGCCGGCGGAGAUUCACCGCCGUGAGCGGCAACGACGCCGAUGAAGUCGAUAGAACGCCACUGUUUUUCCGAGAGUCACGGGUGGGUGGGGGAAAAUGAAACAGGCACUGGACGCUUCUGUUCAGAAAAACGGUUUAUACACUAAUUAAUCACGGUUAAUCGCUAUCGGUAAUCGCAAGUUAAGUUCUCCCGUUGCAACUGAAAGCCGUGGAGUAGAUUUUCUGUUACCCAAGACCCACUCUAUUUUUUAUUAGCCCACCGCCUUCCCUUUUUUUCCGGAUCUGAGGUCUUGGCUCUUGGCGGCGGUAAGCUCGGGUAAGCUGGGGUCGACGGCGGCGAACUUCACCUACACGCUCCGCGCAGAUUUAACAUGCCAUCAUCCUCUGUACCAUCGCGAUGCCCCUGACGAGAAGGCAGCGAUCGAGGAGGUGCGCCCCACGCUAGAUCGGGAGAAAGAGGUGAGCCCGUCGUGGCCCAUAGAGCACCUCCGUCGCACCACCCGUGCAGAUCGGAGGAUGGGACAUCGUCCCUUGCUCUAUGAGGUGGUGGAACUGGACCUGCUGAUAGGCCUCCCCUAUGGACUGAGCUUUAGCGCCGUUGAUCACCAUCUUCACCGGUCGGAGGAGGCCGAAGAUGUAGCCGUCAGAUCAGGCACGACACUGCCGAUCUUCCUCGUGUGUUCCGUGGUUGUGUUGUAGAAGAGUAGCAGCCUGCUACGGCUGGUGGCGGUGUUGUUAAUGGCCGGCACGUCUCAGCGUGGAUGUCGGCAGGCACUUCUGUUCAGUGUCCAAAAUGCAUAUAUACGAUUAUCAUUAAGGCAGCGAAAGUGUACUGCGUCAUAAUUGGAAUUCUACUACUGCAAGCAUAUAGCAUUAUGGAUUUAUGAAGCUGUGUCCCCGAUACUUCUGAGAUGUCCUGCUAACUGAGCCCGCCCCGAGCUUCACACGAGACUAGAGAAUCGGCAAGUGGCGAUGCCGUCGGCGUUUAUGGGGUCGUGCUACAACAAACAACAAUUAUUCAUAGUGACGAGGUCUAGUGAAGGUGUCAAAUGCUCAUUUGCCGAUGUCCUAGUGCUCAUAUAGUCUGUAAUCUUUCUCGCGGAGUCAGAUGAUUUUAUUUGUGUGCAAUUUUUUUUUCAUGGAUAGAUUUUGAUGUUUGAGAUGUAACUACGUAUGGUGAUGGUAGAAUAUCUUUUUACUGCGA